GCCGACAGCUACCCCUCUGCAACUCUCACAUGGUCGCCCACUGAAGCAAAGCAGGCCUGUGCCCGGUUAGUACCUGGAUGGGAGACCACAUGGGAAAGCUUGGUUGCUGCCGGAA
rfam:Danio rerio chromosome 3, GRCz11 reference primary assembly.